UCUCAAACAUGUGCAGAGGGGAAUAGUAGGUUAUGCGUCUCCGUGAGAGAUUACUACUGUUACAUGUUGCAAACACGGCAUGCGAUCUUCAAUCCAAUACUCUGUGGAGCACGCCUUCUGCAGCAAUGGGCGGUUGACAUGUACAUCAAGAUUGAGAGCUGUCGGUUGAGGUGGUACAGGAAGAACCAGACGCAGAUCCGUGUCGAUUUGUACAAAGGAGUUGUUGAUGCGAUCACAUCAGGGGAGACGCGAGCAAGCGUUGUUGGUAAAAGAAUAGUGCUCCCUGGAACUUACCCUGGUGGCGACCGCGACAUGAAGAAGAAACAUAUGGAUGCCAUGGAAAUUGUCCAUACAUACGGGAAACCUGACAUCUUCUUGACCAUGACUUGCAACCCUAAAUGGGAAGAGAUAACAAAUGAGUUGCUGGACAGACAGCGCAAGACCGACCUGAUAUUGUGGCUCGCGUGUUCUAUGGCAAACUAG
rnacentral:rRNA from 1 species